rnacentral:rRNA from 1 species
CUGAGAUACGGCCCAGACUCCUACGGGAGGCAGCAGUGGGGAAUAUUGCACAAUGGGCGAAAGCCUGAUGCAGCGACGCCGCGUGAGGGAUGGAGGCCUUCGGGUUGUAAACCUCUUUCGCUCAUGGUCAAGCCGCAGCUUUGGGUUGUGGUGAGGGUAGUGGGUAAAGAAGCGCCGGCUAACUACGUGCCAGCAGCCGCGGUAAUACGUAGGGCGCGAGCGUUGUCCGGAAUUAUUGGGCGUAAAGGGCUUGUAGGCGGUUGGUCGCGUCUGCCGUGAAAUCCUCUGGCUUAACUGGGGGCGUGCGGUGGGUACGGGCUGACUUGAGUGCGGUAGGGGAGACUGGAACUCCUGGUGUAGCGGUGGAAUGCGCAGAUAUCAGGAAGAACACCGGUGGCGAAGGCGGGUCUCUGGGCCGUUACUGACGCUGAGGAGCG